rnacentral:lncRNA from 1 species
AAAGUGGAUCUCGUGGGCCAGAUUUGAGGAUCCCUGGUAUAGACUAUAGCUCAUCUCAGUACAGCCAGUGCUGUCUGUGCUCAUGACCACAACAAAGCAACAACGCCAGAGUGGCUUCCAGCCCGGUUUGAAGUUCUUGGAGGGCAGAAACGCGCUGAAGCUGCUGCGUGCGUGGGUCCUGCGUUCGUUAAUUCAGCGAAGUCUCGCGGUGUUCACGCAACCCCUCUCAGACGUCUUGCGUUUGUCAGACCGCUUCGAAUCUGCUACACGCACGAGCAGAAACGCAGCAUCGCUCGGUCGCCAUCACACCUUCACAUGCGGGGCUGAACUGAGUUUGCGCGCUCGAGACACUCGGAGAGGAUCGCGCGCGGCGUUAUUUUCGUAUUGUGCGUCAUUUCUGCAUUUCUGCGCGUUUCCACCCAGGCAAUAUGGCAACACCCGCCGCUGUAAACCCAUCGGGUUUCUGAACCAUCGCAGCUCGGAAGCACUCAAUUGAGAAACUCUUUUCUGCAUGGAAAUGUGCCAGGUGUCGCUUCGACCUCAUCGGCACCCAGAGAUCAUUAUACUGCUUGAGUCGCACUGAAUUGCUCCUUUCACUCUCUUUUAAGUGCUGCUGGAGAAUAAAGGAACUAAAUGCUUUACUACUGAAUGGGUUAUUUUCCGUUCUUCAUUUUUCGUCGCCCUUGUGUUUGGAAUGGCCUGAUUCCAUCUUUUUCUGUCACGGCUUCUGGUUUUAUAGGGUUUUAGCAAUGAUCUAAAAAGGUCUGGUAGUCCAUUCUGACAUUUUAUAUGGUUAGCUCGGAGUAAAGUAAUAGACAGGGCUACAAACUCAGCAAAAUUUACUGCUUUGAAAUGUGUGUUUUGUAUGUAAUUUGUAAUGAUUAGUUAAUUUUUUUCAUGGAAUGGUGCAAGAGAGAAAGGCUCAAAUGUUACAAAAAAUUACCUUGUCAAAAGGAGUUUUUUUCCCUUUCUCAUUUAAUGUGGUAUUUGUUGUAAGUCCAUGUAAAUAUGUUUUCAUGGCCGGUCAUGUGCUUGACUAUCAGUUCACUCAAGGACUGGCAACUUUCAAGGUCUACAGAGAAAGACUUUUCAUUUACUAGUAAUAUAGCAAAAAUUGCCUACACAUGAGUUAUUAUUGGCUGAUAUUUGGCCAUUUUGAGAUCAUCAUCAGUGGGCAAUGAUCAUGUUGGUUUGAUGAAUUAACAAACUAGCAUUGGCUCUCUUUACCAGCAGCCCAAUUUGUUUUCAUGCAUUUAAGUUUGUGAAUGUUAAUAUUAUUG